AUUGAACGCUGGCGGCAUGCCUUACACAUGCAAGUCGAACGGUAACGCGGGGCAACCUGGCGACGAGUGGCGAACGGGUGAGUAAAGCAUCGGAACGUGCCCAGUAGUGGGGGAUAGCCCGGCGAAAGCCGGAUUAAUACCGCAUACGACCUAUGGGUGAAAGGGGAGGAUCGCAAGACCUCUCGCUAUUGGAGCGGCCGAUGUCAGAUUAGGUAGUUGGUGGGGUAAAGGCCUACCAAGCCGACGAUCUGUAGCUGGUCUGAGAGGACGACCAGCCACACUGGGACUGAGACAAGGCCCAGACUCCUACGGGAGGCAGCAGUGGGGAAUUUUGGACAAGGGGCGCAAGCCUGAACCAGCCAUGCCGCGUGCGGGAAGAAGGCCUUCGGGUUGUCAACCGCUUUUGUCAGGGAAGAAAUCCUUUGGGUUAAUACCUCGGGGGGAUGACGGUACCUGAAGAAUAAGCACCGGCUAACUACGUGCCAGCCGCCGCGGUAA
rnacentral:rRNA from 1 species